AUGUCUAUUAUGUCCUUUAAUGGAGGGGCUGUCAUGGCCACAAAGGGAAAGAACUGUGUGGCCAUUGCUGCAGACAGGCAUUUCGGGAUCCAGGCCCAGAUGGUGACCACAGACAUCCAGAAGAUCUUUCCCAUGGGUGACAGGCUCUACAUAGGCCUGGCCGGCCUGGCCACUAACAUCCAGACAGUUGCCAGUGUCUCAAGUUCCGACUAAACCUGUAUGAGCUGAAAGAAGGUUGGCAGAUCAAGCCUUACACCCUCAUGAGCAUGGUAGCCAACCUCCUGUAUGAGAAGUGGUUUGGUCCCUACUACACAGAGCCUGUCAUUGCUGGCUUGGAAGAUCUUCAAGCCCUUCAUUUGCUCUCUGGACCUCAUUGGCUGCCCCAUGGUGACCGAUGACAUCUUAGUCAGUGGUACCUGCUCUGAACAAAUGUAUGGGAUAUGUGAAUCUCUCUGGGAGCCCGACAUGGAUCCAGAACACCUGUUUGACACCAUUUCUUAGGCCAUGCUGAAUGCUGUGGACUGGGAUGCUGUAUCAGGUAUGGACAUCAUUGUCCACAUCGUUGAGAAAGACAAGAUCACCACCAGGACGCUGAAGGCCCAGAUGGACGACUAA
rnacentral:lncRNA from 1 species